rnacentral:rRNA from 1 species
GACGAACGCUGGCGGCGUGCUUAACACAUGCAAGUCGAACGGAAAGGCCCUGCUUUUGUGGGGUGCUCGAGUGGCGAACGGGUGAGUAACACGUGAGUAUCCUGCCCUUGACUUUGGGAUAACUUCAGGAAACUGGGGCUAAUACCGGAUAGGAGCUCCUGCUGCAUGGUGGUGGUUGGAAAGUUUCGGCGGUUUGGGAUGGACUCGCGGCUUAUCAGCUUGUUGGUGGGGUAGUGGCUUACCAAGGCUUUGACGGAUAGCCGGCCUGAGAGGGUGACCGGCCACAUGGGGACUGAGAUACGGCCCAGACUCCUACCGGACGCAGUGGUGGGGAAUAUUGCACAAUGAGGGCAAGCCUGAUGCAGCAACGCCGCGUGCGGGAUGCCGGCCUACGGGUUGUAAACCGCUUUCGCCUGUGACGAAGCGUGCGUGACGGUAAUGGGUAAGGAAGCACCGGCUAACUACGUG